UCCUCCUUAGCUCAGUCGGUAGAGCAAUCGGCUGUUAACCGAUGUGUCGCUGGUUCGAGCCCGGCAGGGGGAG
rnacentral:tRNA from 1 species